rnacentral:tRNA from 1 species
GGGGAUAUAGCUCAGUUGUUAGAGUGCUUGCCUCACAUGCACAAGGUCCUGGGUUCAAUCCCCAACACCACCA